UACGUAGGGUGCAAGCGUUGUCCGGAAUUAUUGGGCGUAAAGAGCUCGUAGGCGGUUUGUCGCGUCUGCUGUGAAAACUCGGGGCUUAACUCCGGGCCUGCAGUGGGUACGGGCAGACUAGAGUGCGGUAGGGGAGACUGGAAUUCCUGGUGUAGCGGUGAAAUGCGCAGAUAUCAGGAGGAACACCGGUGGCGAAGGCGGCUCUGGUCCGGUACUGACGCUGAGGUGCGAAAGCGUGGGGAGCAAACAGG
rnacentral:rRNA from 1 species